rnacentral:lncRNA from 1 species
GUGUCCCAUCAGUCCUUGCACUUCAUUUUGAAAAUUUCUACUUUUAAUGACUUUAGAAAAUUUUACUAAUCCAGAGAACUAAUAGAAGAGGCUGUAGGAAGAAUAGAAGGAAAAUACUGUUUUUAUAAAGCAAUUUGUAUAGCUUCCUUAGGUGUAUCCACUCACUCUGGAAAAUGUGUUGGUUCUGAAUGUGACAAUAAUUAAAGGUAGGAACACUCAAAUAAGUAUGUGUUUCAGUGGGAAUUAUCACAAAAUUUGGCAAGUAUGUUUAUUUAAAAUAUUUUCCAUCCUGGCUUCUAAAGCCAAAUGAAAUUCACAAACUCUUUUUUCUUAUUUAUAAAAAUAUUUCAUUGGAGGUAAUUAGCUCCUAGAAUAUGAGAUUACAUUCUAUUUCUUUACAACCUUUUAUAAAUUUAUGUUAAACUUACUACCAGUUGUAUGCAGGCUAUUACAUAUCAAUAACUAUUCACAGAUUGCUAUAUAUAUUACUCUAUCUUCCAAGCUAACUUCUUAAACUUGGAAUCUGUACACACAUGUUGGUUGAUUAUCUAGAUCAAUUAUCCUAGAAAUUAUGUAAUUCUCCCAUAGACACCCCAGGAGUCUUUCAGAGUAAGAUUUUUCUAAAUAUUCAUACCUUUUACUGUCAGUUUGCUCAUCAGCAAAUAAAAGUUCAUUUUAACUUUUAGAUUCUGAACUGUGUAAACUUUAGCCAAAACUACCUUGUGUGAUCCACUCCUAGAUGAUAAUCCUUGAUUAAGUAAAUCUGGCAAAUCACUAUUUGAACUAGUUUACACAAAUAUUAUCAAAAGUAGGCUUUUCUACAGGUUCCC